rnacentral:rRNA from 1 species
ACGAACGCUGGCGGCGUGCUUAACACCUGCAAGUCGAACGGAAAGGCCCUGCUUGCAGGGUACUCAAGUGGCGAACGGGUGAGUAACACGUGGGUGAUCUGCCCUGCACUUCGGGAUAAGCCUGGGAAACUGGGUCUAAUACCGGAUAGGAGCCAUUUUUAGUGUGAUGGUUGGAAAGUUUUUUCGGUGUAGGAUGAGCUCGCGGCCUAUCAGCUUGUUGGUGGGGUAAUGGCCUACCAAGGCGGCGACGGGUAGCCGGCCUGAGAGGGUGGACGGCCACAUUGGGACUGAGAUACGGCCCAGACGCCUACGGGAGGCAGCAGUGGGGAAUAUUGCACAAUGGGCGCAAGCCUGAUGCAGCGACGCCGCGUGGGGGAUGACGGCCUUCGGGUUGUAAACUCCUUUCGCUAGGGACGAAGCUUUUUGUGACGGUACCUAGAUAAGAAGCACCGGCUAACUACGUG